rnacentral:tRNA from 1 species
GGGACCCUCGAAAACAGUGAUUUCCAUGCUUCACACGCAUGAGGUCACUGGUUCGAAUCCAGUAGGUCCCA